GCGCGGGCAGGGGUGUCGGGAAGGGGCGGGCUUUCUGCAGCAGACAGGAAGUGGGACUCUGUGCACGCCCUGUUGUCUCCUUCGCUGCCUCGGGGAGAACCUGCAGCUCAAAAGCCCCAUAAAGCCAGACUCAAAUUUUUACACGCCAGUUAUUUUAUGUUUAAUCCUACUGAGCAGAUUUUGAAGUAUUUACAGCCGGACUGUUUUUUAUACUCCAGAAAACCGUCAACAACAGCUGCUAGUCAUAGAUAAGACAAAGCGUGCAGCCGUAAAAGUCACAAGUCACCGCUGUGCUUCCUGUCGCUCUGACCCUGGAGCCUCUUCACCCUUGGUGACAUCGCUGGACACAGGGGAAAUGAUGUACAGAAUGCACCAGUGAACUACUGUACAGCUAUUUAAUAAGUACCAGUGUCAUCCACCAGGUUUUAGGUCUACAAGUCCAGCCUCCUCACAGCAUGUAAAAACGAAGAACUUUC